ACGUAGGGCGCAAGCGUUAUCCGGAAUUAUUGGGCGUAAAGGGCGCGUAGGCGGCCAGCGCAAGUCAGUUGUGAAAUCUCCGGGCUUAACUCGGAACGGUCAACUGAUACUGCGCGGCUAGAGUGCAGAAGGGGCGACUGGAAUUCUCGGUGUAGCGGUGAAAUGCGUAGAUAUCGAGAGGAACACCUGCGGCGAAGGCGGGUUGCUGGGCUGACACUGACGCUGAUGCGCGAAAGCCAGGGGAGCGAACGGGA
rnacentral:rRNA from 1 species